CUCCUUUUUAUUAUGAUGAUUGAGUCACAAGCACAGCUAUUUAGUCACAAGCCUGGGAAGCUGGCAGUUCCCUUGUAUCUGGAUCAGACAUCCACACUGCAUUAAGACAAACUAGGAACAUACUGAAGCCCAAGUUAUCCAAGGCAGUCUAAACAGAUGCUAGGCUAUAAGGGGUAUUAAAACCAGACUGGAUCACUGUCACUCAGUGCCAGGGAAGGUGGUUUUUCCCCCACUGUGAUUCCCUUUUACUGACAUGGAAUACCCAUCCCUUCAUCACAGCACUUCACUGGUAUGUUAUGUUCCCAGCACCACACAGACUUCAGGAGGCUCCCAAUAACUGCAUAAUGACUGUGGCCAGUUGCUCCUAGCCACCAUCAUGUAGAAGCUAUGAUAAAAGAGUAAAAAACAUAGAAAAGGAACUCUACUUAGCCCAUUGCCCACUGAAUCCACUUUAUCUCCUGUGGAAGAAAUAAGCAAGCAUGUUACAGCAAAAUAGCUGAGGAAAGGCCAGACUUUCAAAACAAAUAUAUAAAAGAAGCAACGAGAGGAGAAAAUUUGGAUUCAAUUCACAUAUCUCAGAAGCUUUUCUUGGGAAAAAAAUCUUUCAAGCCAGAGUCUUACUAAAUGAAGGCAAAAGGCCCAUAAGGAAUCUGAAGACCUAGUCAACACAAGAGAAUGAGUGCUCCUAUUUUCAAUAAGCAAAUGGAGGCUACUAGGCAAGUUUGCAGUUUAUUAGACCAUGCUCUCCGUGGCAAGGACAGGGGUUUCCAAUAUAUUCAGAAAAUACUUCUCAAGGAUUGCAAGUCAAGUAAGUAGAACAGAUAAGUCCAGAAGCCCAAACCACAAACCAGUGGGAAUAGUCAUGAAUG
rnacentral:lncRNA from 1 species